GACGAACGCUGGCGGCGUGCCUAAUACAUGCAAGUCGAGCGAACUUUUAAAAGCUUGCUUUUAAAAGUUAGCGGCGGACGGGUGAGUAACACGUGGGCAACCUACCUGUAAGACUGGGAUAACUUCGGGAGACCGGAGCUAAUACCGGAUAAUUCUUUUCUACACAUGUAGAAAAGCUGAAAGACGGUUUCGGCUGUCACUUACAGAUGGGCCCGCGGCGCAUUAGCUAGUUGGGGAGGUAAUGGCUCACCAAGGCAACGAUGCGUAGCCGACCUGAGAGGGUGAUCGGCCACACUGGGACUGAGACACGGCCCAGACUCCUACGGGAGGCAGCAGUAGGGAAUCUUCCGCAAUGGACGAAAGUCUGACGGAGCAACGCCGCGUGAGUGAUGAAGGUUUUCGGAUCGUAAAACUCUGUUGUUAGGGAAGAACAAGUACGAUAGUAACUGAUCGUACCUUGACGGUACCUAACCAGAAAGCCACGGCUAACUACGUGCCAGCAGCCGCAGUAACAC
rnacentral:rRNA from 1 species